rnacentral:rRNA from 1 species
AUGGAGGAACUGCGGCGGGAGCAGCACCGCAUCGCCGGCCACCCCUACGCCUUCGAGGUGGGGUCCUACUUCCUGGCGGGGUACUACAGCGUCCUGGCCAGCACCCCGGAGCUGGCGCGGCAGUUCUACACGGACGGCAGCACCGUCGUGAGGGUCGACUGCCAGACCAUGGAGUCCCAGUUCGGGGAGACGGCCGAGGAAAUCAAUGAUAUAUUGAUGUCCAUGAAUGUUCAAAAGGUUGAGAUUAAAAUGGCUAAUUUCUUGGAAUCAUGGGCUGGAGCCAUCACUCUGUUGGUUACUGGCCUAGUGCAAUUGAAAGGCUACCCUUUACGCAAGAGAUUCUCCCAGAGUAUCAUUCUUGCUCCUCAGGUCAAACCAGAUGGAUUUUUUGUAGACAGUGACAUCUUUCAGCUCAUCUGUGACGAGUAUGAUGAUCAUUACCAAGUUGCUGAUUACGGUUAUGCUAACCAAUUUCCACAGAUGGUUGCUCAUAAUACCAUGACCGAAACAGCAUCUGAUUAUGUGGCUGAAGAACUUGAAUUAAAGGGGUUUGCAGCUCCUGCUGAUACCGACGAAAGGGCUAAUGGUAUUAUAUAUGAGAAUCAUGAAAUGCAGCAGCAAGAUCCUUUGGAAUUUGAGUUUGCAGUCAACGGAGAAACUCAUUUUGAAGAUCCUGCUCCCUCCCUCCCUAGUUCGGCAGACAUUAAACAGGAUGCAUCUGCUCCUCCCCACCCUCCUUCCCCACCUACACCUGAAGAAGAGCCUGUGGGAGAACCGCCUAAGCAAACAUAUGCUUCAGUGCUGCGAGCAAAUGCUGGUCAGGUUAUCCACUCCACUCCGGUUAACAGGGCUAUGACAGGGACCACAGAAUCACAGCUGGUUGGACAAACUCAGCCUGUGCCAGUGCAAGAAAAAUCGAACUUGGGCACUUGUCUGGAUGUCAGUGUCCCUGAGGAUGAAGAAGAGUUCCUAUCAGUAUAUGUUGGUAAUCUUUCUCCAGCUACUUCAGUCUUCGAUCUUGAGAAGGUCUUUCAGGCUUUUGGAAGAAUUAAACCUGAUGGAGUUGCUAUACGUAGUCGCAAGGAGGCUGGAGUUUUCUUUGGAUUUGUUGAGUAUGAAAACAUGAGUGGCAUCCAGAAUGCGUUGGAUGCAUCUCCAAUAGAGUUGAAUGGGCGUCUAGUACAUGUUGAGGAGAGGAGGCCUGGCAGUGGAGUCUUUCGCGGCGGUGGAAGGCGAGGGCGGGGAAGGGGUCAAUAUGGUGGGCGCUACGACGGGGAUUACGCUGCACGGUCAAAGGGAAAUGGUUACCAAAGGAGGGGCGGGCACCAAUACGACGGCUACGACUAG